rnacentral:rRNA from 1 species
AACGAACGCUGGCGGCAUGCCUAACACAUGCAAGUCGAACGAGACCUUCGGGUCUAGUGGCGCACGGGUGCGUAACGCGUGGGAACCUGCCGUUAGGUUCGGAAUAACUCCCCGAAAGGGGUGCUAAUAUCGGAUAAUGUCCUCGGACCAAAGAUUUAUCGCCUUUGGAUGGGCCCGCGUUGGAUUAGCCAGUUGGUAGGGUAAAAGCCUACCAAGGCGACGAUCCAUAGCUGGUCUGAGAGGAUGAUCAGCCACACUGGGACUGAGACACGGCCCAGACUCCUACGGGAGGCAGCAGUGGGGAAUAUUGGACAAUGGGCGAAAGCCUGAUCCAGCAAUGCCGCGUGAGUGAUGAAGGCCUUAGGGUUGUAAAGCUCUUUUACCCGGGAUGAUAAUGACAGUACCGGAAGAAUAAGCUCCGGCUAACUCCGUG